GAUGAACGCUAGCUACAGGCUUAACACAUGCAAGUCGAGGGGUAGCAGGGUAGCAAUACCGCUGACGACCGGCGCACGGGUGAGUAACACGUAUCCAACCUUCCCAUAACUCGGGGAUAGCCUUUCGAAAGAAAGAUUAAUACCCGAUAGUACUUAUAUAGGGCAUCCUACAUAAGUUAAAGAUUUAUUAGUUAUGGAUGGGGAUGCGUUCCAUUAGAUAGUUGGUGAGGUAACGGCGCACCAAGUCUUCGAUGGAUAGGGGAUCUGAGAGGAAGGUCCCCCACAUUGGUACUGAGACACGGACCAAACUCCUACGGGAGGCAGCAGUGAGGAAUAUUGGUCAAUGGGCGAGAGCCUGAACCAGCCAAGUAGCGUGAAGGAUGAAGGUCCUAUGGAUUGUAAACUUCUUUUAUAGUAGAAUAAAGUGAUCCACGUGUGGAUUUUUGUAUGUAUACUAUGAAUAAGGAUCGGCUAACUCCGUGCCAGCAGCCGCAGUAA
rnacentral:rRNA from 1 species